GACGAACGCUGGCGGCGUGCCUAAUACAUGCAAGUCGAGCGGAUCUUCAUUAGCUUGCUUUUGAAGAUCAGCGGCGGACGGGUGAGUAACACGUGGGCAACCUGCCUGUAAGACUGGGAUAACUUCGGGAAACCGGAGCUAAUACCGGAUAAUCCUUUUCCUCUCUUGAGGAAAAGCUGAAAGACGGUUUCGGCUGUCACUUACAGAUGGGCCCGCGGCGCAUUAGCUAGUUGGUGAGGUAACGGCUCACCAAGGCGACGAUGCGUAGCCGACCUGAGGGGGUGAUCGGCCACGCUGGGACUGAGACACGGACCAGACUCCUACGGGAGGCAGCAGUAGGGAAUCUUCCGCAAUGGACGAAAGUCUGACGGAGCAACGCCGCGUGAGCGAUGAAGGCCUUCGGGUCGUAAAGCUCUGUUGUCAGGGAAGAACAAGUAUCGGAGUAACUGCCGGUACCUUGACGGUACCUGACCAGAAAGCCACGGCUAACUACGUGCCAGCAGCCGCCGUAA
rnacentral:rRNA from 1 species